UCUCCCUCCCAAUUUUAUUUGACCAAAAAAAAUUGAUAAACAAUAAUAAAAGCUCUCCAACUUUCUAAAAGAGAUUCUAGUUGCCCUAAAUCUGAAAUAUUGGAGACAUUAAAUACGUUUGUUUUUCAUUAGCGGUGGAAUCUCCAUGGGAUAGCUGUACAAGAACUUGCCAUAUCUCUCUCGUUCCUUCAUAUACUCAUCCAUCGUCUCUAUAGUCUAAAAUUUUGCAACCGGUGCUGCAAUUUCAGAACAACAUCGUUACUUCACAAAUGGGGAUUCUUUUUAAUCCUUUCCAAGAUAAUUUUUACUAUGACAGCUAUGCAUCUAUGGUUCCACCAGUGACCCAUUUAUUUUAAUUUGUUGAUUUGAACUCUAUCCCUACCUAUGAGAAAUUCGAAUCUACUUCCAAAGAUUAGAGUAAAUUAGGUUGCGGCUGUUGUUGUUAGGAUUUAAAUUUUUCGUCAUGUUUUCGAGAAGUGGGUUACCCAUAAUACUUUGCUUCGAAGGAAGAACAUCUGGCUUCAUUGAAACUGCUUCAGGAUUCUCCUAGUGCUGCUCAGACUUCAGAUUUAGCUUCCAACUCUUGAAACUAGAACUAGUGGGACACGACCACCUAGUGAAGUUGAAGGAAGAUGUUACAACCAUCGUUCAGUCUUGACAAUUGCAUUCCAGUUUAUUUUUUAGAAUAACUAUCGAGAAAAUAUUGCUGCUAUGGCUCGUAAAUAUGUAUGAAGCGUUGUCGGCUCUGUUCAGAAGUUGCUAUAGCUAUUGCACCCUCUCAACUCUGCUCGCAGUUGACACCAAAAUCUUUCUCUGGCUCACUGUAAACUGUCACUUUGGGGGAUGAAUUUGCAGUAACUAUAAGUAUGGGUUUUUAACUUCUAUGUUCUUUGCAACAGUAAUUCAUAGUUAUCUGAGUUUUGUACCACCAAUUUGUGAACUUGUGAUUCCUAAUGUAUGCCGAUAAAUAUUUUCGUGUGUGUAGCAUAGUAUGAAUGAAAGGUUAUCCAUUUAUUUUCAAAACUGAAGCCAAUCUGAUUCAUUUGCACCCUUCUAUUAAGAAAUGUGGAACAACCCAUCCCUUAACUCGCAACUUGAUGUACUCAUGGAACACUUUUAACAUUUUCCCUAGUUUCUGUACCUGGUUUUAUUGAUUUAAUGUAUUUCAGAAAUCAUACUGGUGGAGAAAUGCUACAGGUGAAUUCUCAAGCUACUGGUGAUGAUGUUCUGAAGCAAUUAUACCAUCAUACUGAUUCAAUAAUGUGUUGCACCGUCAAAAUGAAUGUCAGUUUUGGCAUGUUAUUGUUGCAGGAUGAAUUGGAGGCAGAACUUGAAGAAUUAGAAGAGUAGCUACUUCAAUCAGUAGCUACUGUUCCUGCUGCUCCAGAUCAUGUUCCUGCAGGGAAGCAGCCUACUUGGCCCAUUCUUUAGAACUGUACAGGUGAAGAACAUGAGCUUGGUGCGUUGCAAGUAGAAAUGGCUCUUUGAGCUAGUAUGCCUAUGACUUUUAACUAGUAACUUACUGAUUGGUGAAAUGUGAGGUCCUGUGUUUAAAAGAUUCCACCAAAAAAGAUGCAAACAUUAUUUGAUAUGAAUUGUUGGAGUCCUUGCUUCCAUUUGCAUAUUGUGUAUCUAGUAGUAUUUACAAUCAUUUGGUUUAGAUUACUUGGAUGAAAAUGCCAGUAUGCAAUUGCUAUAUAUGAUCCUUUAUUGGUUUAUGAUCAUAUUUGUUUUUCUGAAGGCAUUAUCACAGGUAGCUUACAUAUAGAGACUGCUCGUACGCAUGUCAGAAAAAUACUUAAAAUGCUUUCACGUUUCUCCUUGCUAUGGAAACUCAUUUUUGUUGUUGUACUCGUUAUAAAACAUAUGGAUUGAGAACAUUUGCAGGGUGCGUGGAACAUAUUGCAGCUACCAUAAGCAGUUGUUCCUUCAGAAAACAUAUGAGAAAUGAUCCUCGAGCAUAAGGGCUCAACUCAAAGGCGGGUGAGUGCUUUAACUUAUCAACCUCUUUAACAAAGUCAUUUUUAUAAUGACGACGAUACAGAAGAUGAAAACAAUGAACAUGGUUUCCUUCUAAUGUUUGAUUUGUUGAUCGUGAUUUAUUUCUAAGUUUUAAUUUUAUUUUGAAUGUGUAGGAAAGUGUUGGCAAUUCAUUCGAUUGAUUAAGGUAGAUGAUGAAGAUCUUUUGACUAUUGUAGAAGUUUUAAUAUAUUAUACUUGGUUUUGUGAAAUUUAUUGGUAGUACAUAAAUUAUUGCUUUAUAGGUAUGUCUAGUACAAGACAAAUUGUUUUUUAUUUAAUGUUUAUUGCAGAUCUGUAUAGUUAAUUUAAUGCAUAUUUAAUGUGAAACAAUA